rnacentral:piRNA from 1 species
UGGAUAUUCAGCAAAGCACCUAGCAUG